AUGAAGAACGUAGUGAAAUGCGAUAAGUAGUGUGAAUUGCAGAAUUCAGUGAAUCAUCGAAUCUUUGAACGCACAUUGCGCCCCUUGGUAUUCCAUGGGGCAUGCCUGUUCGAGCGUCAUUUGUACCUUCAAGCUUUGCUUGGUGUUGGGUGUUUGUCUCGCCUUUGCGUGUAGACUCGCCUUAAAAUAAUUGGCAGCCGGCGUAUUGAUUUCGGAGCGCAGUACAUCUCGCGCUUUGCACUCAUAACGACAGCGUCCAAAAGUACAUUUUACACUCUUGACCUCGGAUCAGGUAGGGAUACCCGCUGAACUUAAGCAUACCAAUAAGCGGAGGA
rnacentral:misc_RNA from 1 species